UUCGACCCAAUUCUGGCCCAGCUGAGCCAAACAAGCCUGCAAGCAAACAUUUACAGAGCCUGUGGGCGCGGUUACAAAGCCUCUCUGACCUGGAGAGGGGAGAAUGCCAUGUUUCCUCUUGUGUUUGGGGGACUGAAGCAAAAAGAGACGGGCCGCUGGGCGUGUUAUCGCUUGUCUCCGGGGCAGAGAGGCGGUUGCGACAGAGCCCCUGCGUGCGUGUGGACAUGCCUGCAUGGAGCGUUCUGGAGGCCGGACGCCUAAACUCAAGGUGUGGACAGGACCUCUUUCAGCCCCUGGCAGCUGUGGCGUUUUGUAGCCUUAGCACAUCUGUCUCCACGGUCUUCACAUGGGCAGCUCCACAAGUUGAGCAGACCAAGACAGAGGUUUAGUAUCUUGCCGAAAGUCUAGAGGAGAAGCGAGGAAUAAGACCAGCUCUGGCUCCCAAUCCACCCCACAGCUUUUGACGGUACUGAGUGAUGCACCCCUGGAUCCCGAUGGUGUGGGCAGUUCUCCCGUAGGUCUGGCCCGAGUCUCUCCUACUCUCAUCUGAAUUGGAUCAGAUGGAAGGACCAUGUCAGUAGGUCGGUUUUGCUCCCAACCCAGCCUCAAGAGACAUCACCCAUCCCUUGGUACAGGUGGUAGCCUUCCAGUUACUGGGGUGGGGAAUAUUUGCCUUCUGUUAAUGAAAAGAAAUAGAUGUGAUAAUAAAUAAAUGCCCAACCCAG